UCCAGGGAAUGUAAACACCCUACACUCUCGGCGUGCGCCUCCUGGUGGCCGGGAGUGGGACUGUUUGCACUGCUUGGCU
rnacentral:miRNA from 1 species